rnacentral:rRNA from 1 species
ACUCAAAUGAAUAGACGGGGACCCGCACAAGCGGUGGAGUAUGUGGUUUAAUUCGACGCAACGCGAAAAACCUUACCUAGGCUCGAACGACUGGAAGUAGCUCCGAUGAAAGUUGGAGCGACCUGUAAAGUCAGGUGCCAGCCGAGGUGCUGCAUGGUUGUCGUCAGCUCGUGUCGUGAGAUGUUGGGUUAAGUCCCGCAACGAGCGCAACCCCUAUCUUCUGUUGCUAACCCGCAAGGGUGCACUCUGAAGAAACUGCCCACGAUGAGUGGGAGGAAGGCAGGGACGACGUCAAAUCACCAUGGCCCUUAUGUCUAGGGCUACACACGUACUACAAUGGCCGGUACAGAGGGCUGCAAUACCGUAAGGUGGAGCUAAUCCUUAAAACCGGCCCCAGUUCAGAUUGUGGGCUGCAAUUCGUCCACAUGAAGGUGGAAUCGCUAGUAAUCGCGAAUCAGAAGGUCGCGGUGAAUACGUUCCCGGGUCUUGUACACACCGCCCGU